rnacentral:rRNA from 1 species
UACGGAGGGUGCAAGCGUUGUUCGGAAUCACUGGGCGUAAAGGGCGCGUAGGCGGUUUGGUAAGUCAGAUGUGAAAGCCCACGGCUUAACCGUGGAAGUGCAUUUGAAACUGCCGGACUUGAGUACCAGAGGGGAAAGUGGAAUUCCCGGUGUAGAGGUGAAAUUCGUAGAUAUCGGGAGGAAUACCGGUGGCGAAGGCGACUUUCUGGCUGGAUACUGACGCUGAGGCGCGAAAGCGUGGGGAGCAAACAGG